rnacentral:rRNA from 1 species
CGGUUGAUCCUGCCGGACCUGACUGCUAUCGGAUUGAUACUAAGCCAUGCGAGUCAUUGUAGUAAUACAAGGCAGACGGCUCAGUAACGCGUAGUCAACCUACCCUAUGGACGGGGAUAACCUCGGGAAACUGAGAAUAAUACCCGAUAGAACAUUAUGCCUGGAAUGGUUUAUGUUUCAAAUAAUUUAUUGCCGUAGGAUGGGACUGCGGCCUAUCAGUUUGUUGGUGAGGUAAUGGCCCACCAAGACUAUUACAGGUACGGGCUCUGAGAGGAGUAGCCCGGAGAUGGGUACUGAGACACGGACCCAGGCCCUAUGGGGCGCAGCAGGCGAGAAAACUUUGCAAUGUGCGAAAGCACGACAAGGUUAAUCCGAGUGGUUUCUGCUAAAGGAACCUUUUGUCAGUCCUAGAAACACUGAUGAAUAAGGGGUGGGCAAGUUCUGGUGUCAGCCGCCGCGGUAAAACCAGCACCUCAAGUGGUCAGGAUGAUUAUUGGGCCUAAAGCAUCCGUAGCCUGCUUUGUAAGUUUUCGGUUAAAUCCAUACGCUCAACGUAUGGGCUGCCGGGAAUACUGCAAAGCUAGGGAGUGGGAGAGGUAGACGGUACUCGGUAGGAAGGGGUAAAAUCCUUUGAUCUAUUGAUGACCACCUGUGGCGAAGGCGGUCUACCAGAACACGUCCGACGGUGAGGGAUGAAAGCUGGGGGAGCAAACCGGAUUAGAUACCCGGGUAGUCCCAGCUGUAAACUAUGCAAACUCAGUGAUGCAUUNGCUUGAUGCCAAUGCAGUGCUGCAGGGAAGCCGUUAAGUUUGCCGCCUGNNAGUACGUACGCAAGUAUGAAACUUAAAGGAAUNGNGGG